rnacentral:rRNA from 1 species
GAAUUCGCCCUUAGAGUUUGAUCCUGGCUCAGGAUGAACGCUAGCGGCAGGCUUAACACAUGCAAGUCGAGGGGCAGCAAGGGUAGCAAUACCUGUUGGCGACCGGCAAACGGGUGCGGAACACGUACACAAUCUACCUUUAUCUGGGGUAUAGCCCGGAGAAAUCCGGAUUAAUCCCCCAUAACAUAUUGAUGAGGCAUCUUAAUGAUAUUAAAACUCCGGUGGAUAAAGAUGAGUGUGCGUCCCAUUAGCUAGUUGGUAGGGUAACGGCCUACCAAGGCGACGAUGGGUAGCUGGUGUGAGAGCACGACCAGCCACACGGGCACUGAGACACGGGCCCGACUCCUACGGGAGGCAGCAGUGAGGAAUAUUGGUCAAUGGACGCAAGUCUGAACCAGCCAUGCCGCGUGAAGGAUGAAGGCCUUCUGGGUUGUAAACUUCUUUUAUUGGGGAAGAAAAUUACGGUUUCUACUGUAACCGACGGUACCCAAGGAAUAAGCACCGGCUAACUCCGUGCCAGCAGCCGCGGUAAUACGGAGGGUGCAAGCGUUAUCCGGAUUCACUGGGUUUAAAGGGUGUGUAGGCGGGCUGUUAAGUCAGUGGUGAAAUCUCCGGGCUCAACCCGGAAACUGCCAUUGAUACUAUCAGUCUUGAAUAUCGUUGAGGUUGGCGGAAUAUAUCAUGUAGCGGUGAAAUGCUUAGAUAUGAUAUAGAACACCGAUUGCGAAGGCAGCUAACUAAGCGAUGAUUGACGCUGAGGCACGAAAGCGUGGGGAUCAAACAGGAUUAGAUACCCUGGU